rnacentral:rRNA from 1 species
GGUCUACUGGACGGUAACUGACGCUGAGGCGCGAAAGCGUGGGGAGCAAACAGGAUUAGAUACCCUGGUAGUCCACGCUGUAAACGAUGAAUACUAGGUGUGGGGGGACUGACCCCCUCCGUGCCGCAGUUAACACAAUAAGUAUUCCACCUGGGGAGUACGACCGCAAGGUUGAAACUCAAAGGAAUUGACGGGGGCCCGCACAAGCAGUGGAUUAUGUGGUUUAAUUCGAAGCAACGCGAAGAACCUUACCUAAACUUGACAUCUCUCUGACCAUCAAUGUAAUGUUGACUUCCUUCGGGACAGAGAUGACAGGUGGUGCAUGGUUGUCGUCAGCUCGUGUCGUGAGAUGUUGGGUUAAGUCCCGCAACGAGCGCAACCCUUACUUUCAGUAGCCAUCAUUAAGUUGGGCACUCUGGAAGGACUGCCGUGGAUAACACGGAGGAAGGUGGGGAUGACGUCAAAUCAUCAUGCCCCUUAUGUUUAGGGCUACACACGUGCUACAAUGGCUGUUACAAAGUGAAGCGAACCUGUGAAGGUGAGCAAACCACAAAAAAGCAGCCCCAGUUCGGAUUGUAGUCCGCAACUCGACUACAUGAA